rnacentral:lncRNA from 1 species
CAGGCUGUCAGUGUGUACAGCAAGAACUGCUCAAGUAAGCCACACCAUCUGCACCCGGUCUGAGAAGGUGACUUGUCCCAAAAUUGAUCUUUGCUUCUUAACGAAGCUGUCAGAUGUCCCAUGAAAUCAGAGACCCUUGGACUUUCCUCCUCAAAAGGAAUUCAGAGGCAACACCAACUACACGUGGGCACUCUUCACGAACCAGGUGCUUUCAAAGCACUCUACGUGGAUAAACUCAUUCAAUAUCCCAAGAGCCCCAUGAGAGCCAUAGGUCACCAGGUUUUGCCAUGAGGACUGCGGAGCAGCAAAAGCAGGUCUACAGAGAGUAAGAAUGAGAUAGAACCAUGGAGAGAAGCAAAGGCAAGAAAUGGAGAGAGGAAGUCCUAAUAUUUCCUUACCACCCUGCAAUGAAUUGUCUUGUGCACUUUCUGGAGCAUGUCACCCCAGGGUGGAGACCACUGGAUUAAGUCGCCAGUUCCUAAAAUUGUUGUGGGGCCGCGUGGUGAGAGUACCAGAUGUUCACAUCCACAGGAAUUUGGAUGGUCCUCGCUGAUCCAAUCCAGCGGGUGACGGAUUGCCGCCCGUCAUCCUAAGAAGAUAAUAGCCUCCUUUAUUACCACCAUUUUAUAGACAAGGAAACUGAGACACAGUAAGGGGAGAACACACCCACUGUCUUGCAGAUGGUUUGAGCCACUGCUAGCACCUGAGGAUUCAACAGUGAUCCCCAUAAGCAUAGUCCCUGCCUUCAAGAAGCUUGUGAUUGGAUGGAGGAGAGAGACAAUAAACAGAUGAAGAAACUUGAGAUGUGGCUUUUCCAACAUCCAGAAGUGGUCCAUUUUGACUCCAAGUUCAAGUUCUUAGCUGCUACUGUGCUGUCCCCUUAGAAGAUAAAUCGUCUAGCUGCAUCUGAUUGCAUUAUCAUAUCAAAUCCUUUCUAUUGUGCAAAGAACCAAUUCUCCAAAUUGAGUGUCUUAAUACCACUCUCAGUCCACAAUCUAUAAAGCACACCUUUGAACUGUUGUAUACAUUUUCUUUACAAUGAACAAACAGAAAAAACAUUGAACUUUUCAUUCAACUGAUUGAAACAUUGACCUUCACAUGUUGCCUAACAUAACAAAUGAAGUUACACAAUCAUUUUAUAGCUCCAGUCCUAUCUCUGCUAUUAUAACCUCCAGCCUUUACAGGACUGUCCUGAUGUAAAACCCACAGGUCCUCUGGACCUCACACAGUUCUACAUUCACACAGCGCUCACCAUGUUUAUUAGGUACAUUCUCACCUGUCUCAGGGGUCCCAGGUGUCUUAGCUUCCCUGAAUGGAAAAAGACAUUCCUGCUUCAUUCUCUUUCUCUUUUUACAAAAACCACUACCCCCUCUGCCUACCUGCUCCUACGACCUCAUUCUUCUCAGGUUUGUGUGCUUCAAGAAGUGCAAAACUGGUGAACUGUGGUGAAAAUUCCACUGUUUUCCCAGAUCAGGUAGUGCCUACGACUUCACCGAGGGCUGAAGAAAAGGAUCAGCUUUAAAAGUCAGACCGUGUUCUCUUCUCUUCUCUGUUGUCUGCUUGGGCAUCCCCUGUUUUCUCACUAUCUGUAGACAGUGACUAGUCCUGAAAGUAAGGUUGUAGAAUGACCCACGCAAAGCUCUGCUUAGAAUAUCUGGAAUGGAAUCAGUUAUGUGUGAACUUCUGGUUUGCAAUCCAAUAACCCACUCUUCUUAAAUGUAUAUUUAUCCAAAACCACCCCUCCUCAGCACAGCAUUUACUGUAUCACUCAUGGGAUCACUCUCUCCCACUCACUGGGACUCAUUUGCCCAUCUGUAAAGUUAAAGGAGUAGAUUAAACCGUUUGUGACGUCACUUCCAGCUCUAAAGGUCUUUGAUUCUAAUCUAGGUUUCCAUUUUCCUACACUAGAGUUUCCUUCCUUCCAUCCAUUCAUCCACCCAUCCAUCCGCUUAUUCAUUCAUUCACAGAAAAAAAUGUAUAUAUGGAGUGCCUACUGUGUGCUAGAUAUUGUUCUAGGCAGAUUGAUUAAGUAAUAACUAGGACAGAUAACAUCUAUCCCCCAUGGGGGCAUAACCUUCUCUCUUACCUCUCCCCGCAAAUAAUUUGAAAGUGUAAAGAAAACCAGUGGUAGAGUUGUUCUAAC